UUGUACUAUGUUUAACCCGACUUGGUUUUCUUUAUUAGAGGUGGAUGAUUCCUAGCUGAAAUAAUUCGCGUUCAGAAUAAAUCUGAGUCUGCCAAAGCAAAAAUCAUCAAAAGACUCUAUGGCGGCAAUUUAUAUUGACUAGAUGAUUCCCAGCGCUUAAAGUUUUCCGGAUAAUUAACUCCCUGGAAAGGGAUUAGCUAGAGAUAACAGUUUAUUUCUGUGAGUCCUAAUGCAAGAGGGGAGCUGGAGACAUCCAUAGUGAAUGCAGAGUCUGACGCAGAGUUCCAUGCGUCUGAUGACUUCACGGAUGAUCAGGACCGCUUUAGGGAGCUCUUCUCACUGCCUGUCUCCGAACAACCCCUCAAAGGAUGGGAAAAUGGAAAGAGAGCAGUUUUAAUCAGCAAAAAUCGCUCCCUUGUCUCAACACUUGCAAAGAAGCGUGGAAAACUCUUCCUCACAAAAUCAUUCCUGUGUUUUGAAAGGGACCAUUCUCCAUCUGUCCGAAACAUUGUGGUUCCUAUAAGAGAUGUUGUAAAAAUCACCAAAAUUAAAGUCAAUGAGCGUUUGCCCGGUAAAGGCAUGUCAAUACAGUUAGACAUCUGUACUGAUGGUACGAGUAGUGUGUUACGGUUUGGCGGUAUUUUAAGACGUGAAGACAUGGUCAAGGACAUAGAACAUUGUAUACAGUCUGCCAAACAGAAUGAGGCACAGUCUGGGGAUAGAGUGAGCCGAAAAACAUCUGAUUGGUCUUCAACUGAUCAUGUGACCAACUUCACGUUUGGUGCUUAUUAUGAAGAUUCUGAAUGAUGUAAGGAAAUGAAAUAAUAUUAUUGUAUGUUUUCAGUUACGUAUCUUGUACUAACAUAAAGAACUUAUUUCAUAUUAAGUACUUGUUUGAUAAGGGAUACAAAAUAUUUUUUGUCAAUCUACAUAACCAAAAUAAAAAAAUGGGAGAUAGAUAUUUGUGCAUUUUUAUAAAGUUAUUUUUAUGAAAAUACUUGCUUGUGUUGUUCUUUCCAUGUAGCUGGUUAUUAUUUUGUUAUAUGUUAAUCAUCAGUGAAUUCCUGUUAUUAUGUUUAAAUGCUCAUUUUACCAUUAGGCAAUUUGAGGCAAUUUGAUGUUGACUUCAAUGCCAUUUCAGCGACUGUGAUUAUGUGUAUGGUGAUUUAUAUUUCACUAAAUUGUUUUUAUUGAUAUGAUGUGUGUACGCAGAUAUUAUUGCUAAUAUCAAUACCAGCUAGUUUAUAUGGGCUGUGCUCUGUGAAAAAGGGGUUUAAUGCAUGUGCAUAAAGUGACAUCCCAGAUUAGCCUGUGCAGUCCGCACAGGCUAAUCAGGGACGACACUCUCCCCCUAAACUUGAUUUUUGCUAAGAAGAUAAUUCCUUGAAAGGAAAGAUAUCAUAAAAGCAGAAAGUGUCCUCCCUGAUAAGCCCGUGCGGACUGCACAGGCUAAUCUGGGACAAUACUUUACGCACACGCAUUAGACCCCUUUUUCACAGAGCACGAUUCAUAUACAUGUUGUUCAUGUUCUACCUCUUCUGCUGAUGCAUCACUAUAUAAACUACAUUAAUAUGAGCCUUGAUCUGGAAAAAUGGGGCUUAAUGCAUGUACGUAAAGUGUCGUCCCAGAUUAGCCUGUGCAGUCCGCACACAUGGAAAAUAGGGACGACACUUUUGGCCUUCACUAUAUUUUUUGUAAGAGCAGACUUUCUUUAAACAAAAAAAAUUGGAAUAGUUGUUAACUGUCAGCCUUGAUUAGCUUGUGUGGACUGCACAGGCUAAAUUGGGAUGACAUUUAACACACCUACAUUUAACCCCCCAAUUUCUGUCAGUCUAUGUAUAUCAAAGGUAUAAAAUUAAUGUUGCCAUUAAAUGAAGUUUGUUAUGAUGAAAUCUGUUGCAA